GUUGGUUUCUCUCUUCUGGUAAAUUGAUGGCUGUGUUUGCGUCCUCGCUGUUCACUCGCAGUAAUUCACCUUUUUGGGUAAAUAUUUCAUAGAGAGAUCUCCCUGCUCUCCCUGCUGCCUCACUUCUCAAACCCAGAGUCAGCAGGAACUGGUUCAUCUAAAGAACUCAGGUGGAUCUCCAAGAGGAACAGAGAUGGUCCUCACUUGUAAUGGAUCCAGAGGACAUCUCUCUGAGAUCCGCGGGGAGCUCGGAGAAGAGCUGCUGCUCCUUCACGUGAGAAGAGAAUCUCAGCUGGUCUGGAGACGCCUCCGGAUCCCCCACGAGGAGCGAUGUCUGGACAACUUUACUUGACCUGCUGCCACUGCGACCAGCAGAAAAUGGAUGGAUGGAUGAAUGGAUAGACGGA